ncrna:23S ribosomal RNA from Escherichia coli (PDB 3J9Z, chain LA)
GGUUAAGCGACUAAGCGUACACGGUGGAUGCCCUGGCAGUCAGAGGCGAUGAAGGACGUGCUAAUCUGCGAUAAGCGUCGGUAAGGUGAUAUGAACCGUUAUAACCGGCGAUUUCCGAAUGGGGAAACCCAGUGUGUUUCGACACACUAUCAUUAACUGAAUCCAUAGGUUAAUGAGGCGAACCGGGGGAACUGAAACAUCUAAGUACCCCGAGGAAAAGAAAUCAACCGAGAUUCCCCCAGUAGCGGCGAGCGAACGGGGAGCAGCCCAGAGCCUGAAUCAGUGUGUGUGUUAGUGGAAGCGUCUGGAAAGGCGCGCGAUACAGGGUGACAGCCCCGUACACAAAAAUGCACAUGCUGUGAGCUCGAUGAGUAGGGCGGGACACGUGGUAUCCUGUCUGAAUAUGGGGGGACCAUCCUCCAAGGCUAAAUACUCCUGACUGACCGAUAGUGAACCAGUACCGUGAGGGAAAGGCGAAAAGAACCCCGGCGAGGGGAGUGAAAAAGAACCUGAAACCGUGUACGUACAAGCAGUGGGAGCACGCUUAGGCGUGUGACUGCGUACCUUUUGUAUAAUGGGUCAGCGACUUAUAUUCUGUAGCAAGGUUAACCGAAUAGGGGAGCCGAAGGGAAACCGAGUCUUAACUGGGCGUUAAGUUGCAGGGUAUAGACCCGAAACCCGGUGAUCUAGCCAUGGGCAGGUUGAAGGUUGGGUAACACUAACUGGAGGACCGAACCGACUAAUGUUGAAAAAUUAGCGGAUGACUUGUGGCUGGGGGUGAAAGGCCAAUCAAACCGGGAGAUAGCUGGUUCUCCCCGAAAGCUAUUUAGGUAGCGCCUCGUGAAUUCAUCUCCGGGGGUAGAGCACUGUUUCGGCAAGGGGGUCAUCCCGACUUACCAACCCGAUGCAAACUGCGAAUACCGGAGAAUGUUAUCACGGGAGACACACGGCGGGUGCUAACGUCCGUCGUGAAGAGGGAAACAACCCAGACCGCCAGCUAAGGUCCCAAAGUCAUGGUUAAGUGGGAAACGAUGUGGGAAGGCCCAGACAGCCAGGAUGUUGGCUUAGAAGCAGCCAUCAUUUAAAGAAAGCGUAAUAGCUCACUGGUCGAGUCGGCCUGCGCGGAAGAUGUAACGGGGCUAAACCAUGCACCGAAGCUGCGGCAGCGACGCUUAUGCGUUGUUGGGUAGGGGAGCGUUCUGUAAGCCUGCGAAGGUGUGCUGUGAGGCAUGCUGGAGGUAUCAGAAGUGCGAAUGCUGACAUAAGUAACGAUAAAGCGGGUGAAAAGCCCGCUCGCCGGAAGACCAAGGGUUCCUGUCCAACGUUAAUCGGGGCAGGGUGAGUCGACCCCUAAGGCGAGGCCGAAAGGCGUAGUCGAUGGGAAACAGGUUAAUAUUCCUGUACUUGGUGUUACUGCGAAGGGGGGACGGAGAAGGCUAUGUUGGCCGGGCGACGGUUGUCCCGGUUUAAGCGUGUAGGCUGGUUUUCCAGGCAAAUCCGGAAAAUCAAGGCUGAGGCGUGAUGACGAGGCACUACGGUGCUGAAGCAACAAAUGCCCUGCUUCCAGGAAAAGCCUCUAAGCAUCAGGUAACAUCAAAUCGUACCCCAAACCGACACUGGUGGUCAGGUAGAGAAUACCAAGGCGCUUGAGAGAACUCGGGUGAAGGAACUAGGCAAAAUGGUGCCGUAACUUCGGGAGAAGGCACGCUGAUAUGUAGGUGAGGUCCCUCGCGGAUGGAGCUGAAAUCAGUCGAAGAUACCAGCUGGCUGCAACUGUUUAUUAAAAACACAGCACUGUGCAAACACGAAAGUGGACGUAUACGGUGUGACGCCUGCCCGGUGCCGGAAGGUUAAUUGAUGGGGUUAGCGCAAGCGAAGCUCUUGAUCGAAGCCCCGGUAAACGGCGGCCGUAACUAUAACGGUCCUAAGGUAGCGAAAUUCCUUGUCGGGUAAGUUCCGACCUGCACGAAUGGCGUAAUGAUGGCCAGGCUGUCUCCACCCGAGACUCAGUGAAAUUGAACUCGCUGUGCAGAUGCAGUGUACCCGCGGCAAGACGGAAAGACCCCGUGAACCUUUACUAUAGCUUGACACUGAACAUUGAGCCUUGAUGUGUAGGAUAGGUGGGAGGCUUUGAAGUGUGGACGCCAGUCUGCAUGGAGCCGACCUUGAAAUACCACCCUUUAAUGUUUGAUGUUCUAACGUUGACCCGUAAUCCGGGUUGCGGACAGUGUCUGGUGGGUAGUUUGACUGGGGCGGUCUCCUCCUAAAGAGUAACGGAGGAGCACGAAGGUUGGCUAAUCCUGGUCGGACAUCAGGAGGUUAGUGCAAUGGCAUAAGCCAGCUUGACUGCGAGCGUGACGGCGCGAGCAGGUGCGAAAGCAGGUCAUAGUGAUCCGGUGGUUCUGAAUGGAAGGGCCAUCGCUCAACGGAUAAAAGGUACUCCGGGGAUAACAGGCUGAUACCGCCCAAGAGUUCAUAUCGACGGCGGUGUUUGGCACCUCGAUGUCGGCUCAUCACAUCCUGGGGCUGAAGUAGGUCCCAAGGGUAUGGCUGUUCGCCAUUUAAAGUGGUACGCGAGCUGGGUUUAGAACGUCGUGAGACAGUUCGGUCCCUAUCUGCCGUGGGCGCUGGAGAACUGAGGGGGGCUGCUCCUAGUACGAGAGGACCGGAGUGGACGCAUCACUGGUGUUCGGGUUGUCAUGCCAAUGGCACUGCCCGGUAGCUAAAUGCGGAAGAGAUAAGUGCUGAAAGCAUCUAAGCACGAAACUUGCCCCGAGAUGAGUUCUCCCUGACCCUUUAAGGGUCCUGAAGGAACGUUGAAGACGACGACGUUGAUAGGCCGGGUGUGUAAGCGCAGCGAUGCGUUGAGCUAACCGGUACUAAUGAACCGUGAGGCUUAACCU